UUUGAAACAAAGGUAGAACUAAGGGGCUCAUUUGAAAUUUUAUAAGAAGUAUCAUCUUCUUCAAGGAAAUAUCAAAACGUUCUGGGCUUUUAUUUCUUCCUUUUUUUCAGAACAUUUUUCUGUUUUCCCUUUCCCCUUUGAUUUUUCUUUCUUUUUCUUGCCUCAUCAAUCCAGCCAACACCACCCUUUCAUUGCUGCCAUCAUCUCGCUAUCACCAUCUUGCCAUCUUCAUUUUCAACAGCAUCUCUAUCACCGCCGAUCUAGGCUCAUGACUUUUUCAUGUGUUCUUCUGUAAAAUUAAGAACCCAAAUCUAAGCAGCAACUUUUUUUGGAGACUUGGAUUGCUUAGUCUCUUUCUUCUCUGAAUCAUUAGUUUCUUAGGCAACAAAACCGGCUCUUUCAUCUAUAUCUUCAUCACCAAUCGUUCGAAGGUCUCAGCCCCAUCGCAGUUGAUUAGGACGAUCUGUCUCUCAGUAUUCCAAGCAAGCCAAGAGGGUCUUCACUCUCCAAUUACAUGAAGGCAGUGGACCUCGAUUUCUCCUCCUUGCCCGCCAGUUGAUUUUUCUUUUUUUGUUUCCCUUUUCCUUUCCUUCCAUCCGUUCUUCAACUGACACCACCGACAAAUGGCCAUCAUCAGAUCUAAUUUUGCUAUUCUUGUUUCUAUUGAAUUUGGGAUUAAUUUGAAGUUGAGAGCAGAGCCACUAUAUGAUUGAUAUGUUGAAGGCUUUAGGUGUUAGGUUGGGAUCAUUGAUUGAGAAUUUUUUGUUAAUAUUUUGAGACUAUUAGAUUGAGAAUUUUUGUUGUUAUUUUGCGCUCUAUCUAAUUGGAAAUUUUUUGGUGUUAUUUUGGGAUCAUUGAGCGUUGAAAUUAGUGAUGAUUGGUGGUAGAGUUGCUGGUGAUUGGUGGCGAUGGUGGAGCUACUGGUGAUCGGUGGUGGUACUGAUGAUGAUUGGUAUUCACUGGUGUCAUUGACCAGUUUGGUAGUGAGCAGGGAAGAAAUGGAGAAGGAAAAUAAACCAAAAAAAGGAAAGGAAAUGGCAAAAAACUGCAAAAUACUGAAUUGUCCUUGACAAUGUCACUUGAAACUCACUUAAUACACGCGUGUAUCACAAACUCCGUUAGUUUGGAUGCUUUUCAUCCAAGUUCCAAAGAAGUCCAAAGUAUAGGGAGGUUAUGUGUGGGUUUUUAAAUACUGAGGAAGUUUUAUGUACAAUAGGUAAACCACAGGGGGUUUUAUGUAUUUUACCCAAACUAAUAAUAGCCAGGAUAUGAUUCGAGUUCGUUGCAUCUAAUUAAUUUUCAUUCUUAGUUUCAAUAAUUUUAUAAAUUUUUAAUCUUUAAACAUUUUGUUCA
rnacentral:lncRNA from 1 species